rnacentral:tRNA from 1 species
ACUUCGAUAGUGUAAUAGAUCAGCACAGCAGAUCGGAUAACUGUAAAUGCGGGUUCAAAUCCCGCCUGAGGUU